UUGCGCAUGGGGGAAACCUUGNCGCAGCAACGCCGCGUGGGUGAUGAAGGCCUUCGGGUCGUAAAGCCCUGUCAGGUGGGAAGAAACAUGCGGAUGUUAAUACCAUCCGCACUUGACGGUACCACCGGAGGAAGCACCGGCUAACUCCGUGCCAGCAGCCGCGGUAAUACGGAGGGUGCAAGCGUUGUUCGGAAUUAUUGGGCGUAAAGCGCGUGUAGGUGGUUGGGUAAGUCAGAUGUGAAAGCCUUCUGCUUAACAGAAGAAGUGCAUUUGAAACUGCUCGGCUAGAGUACGGGAGAGGAGAGUGGAAUUCCCGGUGUAGAGGUGAAAUUCGUAGAUAUUGGGAGGAACACCGGUAGCGAAGGCGGCUUUCUGGCCUGAUACUGACGCUGAGACGCGAAAGCGUGGGUAGCAAACAGGAUUAGAUACCCUGGUAGUCCACGCCGUAAACGAUGGGAACUAGGUGUAGGAAGUGUUGACCCUUUCUGUGCCGAAGCUAACGCAUUAAGUUCCCCGCCUGGGGAGUACGGUCGCAAGGCUAAAACUCAAAAAAAUUGACGGA
rnacentral:rRNA from 1 species